AGGCCGCCAGCGCGAAGAAGGCGGCCAUGAGUCCGUUGCAGGCCCGCCACAGCGCUGGCGCCAUGGCUCGGAGAACACGGCGCGGGGCGGAGCACCUGACAUACCUGGAUAUAAACAAUAUCCAAGGCUUCCGUGCUGCCAGCAGAGGGCGUGGGAUUCUUCCUGAGGAGCCUGAGUCUCAGCUUUGCCAGGUCCUUGCUGUGUGACCUUGGGGUGUGGACAGGAUGAAGAGAAGGCAGUUAAGAGCUUUGAGGAAGCACCAGGACUGACAAUAACCAGGAGCCAAUCCCUACUACUUCUAGGCUCCAGGGGUGAGGAGAUGGAGCUGGAACUGGAAUCUGGAGAGGAUUGUUGGAGGAGAGGGCUGCCUGGCUGGGGCUGUGGCCUUGAGUGG
rnacentral:lncRNA from 1 species